CGCGGGGUGGAGAAGCCCGGUAGCUCGUCAGGCUCAUAACCUGAAGGUCACAGGUUCAAAUCCUGUCCCCGCAACCA
rnacentral:tRNA from 1 species